UCUCAACCAAUUAUCCCGGUGCGGCCGCCGCCGUCGCCGCCGCCGCCACCGCCAGCACAAGAUCCGGACGCCAUUCUUCGCGCGCUGCUUAGCUUAGCUCCUCCCUUUCCUUGCCUCCGGCACGGCGCGGCGCGGCGCGGGCGCUACCCGGAGGUUGCUGCGAGCUCCGUCGGCGCACGCAUGGCACGCCGCGUCCCCGCCCGAGCACGCUCCGUCGGCGGCGGCCCUCGCUCCGAGGGCGCGCGACCCGGACCCAAGACCGGAGCAGCAGCAGGCAGGGGUGGCGCCGAAGACGCACUCCACGUGUUCGACGAAUUGCUCCGCCAAGGCGGGGGCGGGGGCGCCUCGAUCAUCCGCGGCUUGAACCGCGCCCUCGCCGCCGUCGCGCGUGACAGCCCCGCGGCCGCCGUGUCCGGCUUCAACCGCAUGGCACGAUCCAGCGACGAUGCGGUGACUCCCACCUUGCACACCUAUGGCAUCCUCAUUGGCUGCUGCUGCCGUGUGGGUCGUUUGGACCUCGGCUUCGCGGGCUUGGGCAAUGUUAUUAAGAAGGGAUAUAGAGUGGAACCCAUCAUCUUUACUCCUCUGCUCAAGAGCCUCUGUGCCGAGAAGAGGACGAGCAACGCAAUGAACAUAGUGCUCCGCAGAAUGACAGAGCUUGGCUGCGCGCCGCAUGUCUUCUCCUACAACAUUCUUCUCAAGGGACUCUGUCAUGAGAGCAGAAGCCAAGAAGCUCUCGAGCUGCUGCACAUGAUGGCGGAUGAUGGAGGAGACUGCCCACCUGAUGUGGUGUCGUACAGCACCAUCAUCGAUGGCUUGUUCAAAGAGGGGGAUUCGGACAAAGCUUACAGUACAUACCAUGAAAUGCUGGACCGGGGGAUUUUACCAGAUGUUGUGACUUACAACACUAUUGUCGCUGCCUUGUGCAAGGCUCAAGCUAUGGACAAGGCCAUGGAUGUACUUAAUAGGAUGGUUACGAAUGGAGUCAUGCCUGAUUGCAUCACAUAUAAUAGUAUUGUGCAUGGAUAUUGCUCUUCUGGACAGUCGAAAGAAGCUAUUGGAAUUUUGGAGAAGAUGUGCAGCGAUGGUGUUGAACCAGAUGCUGUUACUUAUACAUCUCUAAUGGACUAUCUCUGCAAGAACGGAAGAUGCAUAGAAGCUAGAAAGAUUCUUGAUUCUAUGAUCAAGAGGGGCCUAAAGCCUAAUGUUAUUACAUACAGUACCUUGCUUCAUGGUUAUGCUACGAAAGGAGCUCUUGUUGAGAUGCGUGAUCUCUUGGAUUUGAUGCAAAAUGAGGCAGCAAGGAUUAACUCCGGAUGUAGUGACCUACGGAACAUUGAUAGAUGGACUUUAGUGGAUGAUGCAAUGCUUAAUUUGGAACAGAUGAUUAGUGAAGGUGUAACCCCUAACAUCGUUAUUUUCAACACAUUAAUUCAUGGUCUCUGUACCAGUGACAGAUGGAAGAAGGCUGAGGAGUUAAUCCUUGAAAUGAUUAACAGAGGAAUCUGUCCAGACACAAUUUCCUUUAAUUCAAUAAUUGAUAAUCUUUGCAAAGAAGGGAGGUUUAUAGAAUCUGAAAAACUCUUUGGCCUGAUGGGACGUAUUGAUGUGAAGGUUGAUGUCAUUACAUACAGUAAGAUGGAUGAAGCAAUGAAGUUACUUUCUGGCAUGGUCUCAGUUGGGCUGAAACCUGAUACUGUUACUUAUAGCACUUUGAUUAAUGGCUACUGUAAAAUUAGUAGGAUGGAGGAUGCAUUAUCUCUUUUCAGGCAGAUGGUGUGCAAUGGUGUUAGUCCUAGUAUUAUCACGUAUAACAUAAUUCUGCAAGGUUUAUUUCAGUCCGGACGAACUUGUGCUGCUAAAGAAAUCUAUGGCAGGAUUAUCAAAAGGGGAAUACAGCUUGAAAUUAGCACAUGCAACAUAGUCCUUCAAGGACUUUGCAAAAAUAAUCUCACUGAUGAGGCACUUCAGAUGUUCCAGAAUCUAUGUUUGAUGGAUGUAAAGCUUGAGACUAGGACUUUCAAUAUAAUGAUUGGUUCCUUGCUUAGAAGUGGCAGAAAGGAUGAAUCAAAGGAUUUGUUUGCUGCUCUCUCGGCAAAUGGUUUAGCACCGGAUGUUGUGACCUAUACCUUAAUGAUUGAAAAUCUCAUAGAAGAUGGCUUGCUCGAAGAGUCUGAUAAUCUAUUUCUUUCAAUGGAGAAGAAUGGCUGUGUUCCUAACUCCCGUAUGCUUAAUUGCAUCGUCAGAAAGUUACUUCACAAAGGGGAGAUAGGCAGGGCUGGUGUUUAUCUAACCAAAAUUGAUAAAAAUGACUUCUCCCUUGAAGCUUCCACAGCUGAGUUACUGAUUUUGCUGGUUUCAAGUGGGAAAUACAAUCAACAUAUGAAGGGUCUCCCUGAGAAAUGGGCUGCUAGAGUGCUGGUGAACAGCACCGAAGCCUGCUGGCACGGUCGCAAGGAAGUUGUACUCCCAAGCCUUGUUGCUACAUUCCCACAGCCAUUGGUGAAAUCAAAUGGCUUCCUGAGCUUGCUUGGGUUGCGCUCGACCGUCUCCAAGCAAGGAAAUGACCGUGAGAUCAAGAUUACAAGGCAUUUGUGCAAGUGCCCCACUUACCGUCUAUCUUCUCUGGAGUUCAACUCUCUGCAGAUGCACGUUGAUGCUUCGAAAAUUGUCCUUCCACACUCCAAGAAAAAGGAACUCAGGUACUUAAGUUCUUGA
rnacentral:lncRNA from 1 species